rnacentral:rRNA from 1 species
UACGAAGGGGGCUAGCGUUGUUCGGAAUUACUGGGCGUAAAGCGCACGCAGGCGGUUCGGUCAGUCAGAAGUGAAAGCCCCGGGCUCAACCUGGGAAUUGCUUUUGAUACUGCCGAGCUUGAAUCACGGAGAGGGUAGUGGAAUUCCGAGUGUAGAGGUGAAAUUCGUAGAUAUUCGGAAGAACACCAGUGGCGAAGGCGACUACCUGGCCGUCGAUUGACGCUCAUGUGCGAAAGCGUGGGGAGCAAACAGG